GGUCUAAUGGUGUAGUGGGCACACCUGCUAAAUAUCAAGCAUAACCAGAUUGGUAAGCAGGAGGACCUCGUUCGAACCGAGGUUAGGCUA